rnacentral:tRNA from 1 species
GAGGGUAUAGCUCAGUGGUAGAGCGCGUGCUUAGCAUGCAAGAGGUCCUGGGUUCAAUCCCCAGCACCUCCA